ACAACAGACUCGAGUGAAACCGAAAAUGACAGAGCCAGGCUGUUCUGCUGCAGGGAUUGCAUUUCUCUUAAUGAAAACAAAGAAGGAAGCUCAUGAUUACUGAUAACACCAAGGUUGCAGGUUCGAUCCCUGUAUGGGACAGCUGCAUAUUCCUGCAGUGCAGCUGGUUGGACUAGAUUAUCCUCAGGGUCCUUUCCAACACUACAGUUCUAUGAUUGGUGGAAACAUUAAUGCCAAGUUGAAACAUCUGGUUCAGGCUUGCAUGAAAUGCCAACAAAUGGCACCUUUUGUUCAGACAGAAGGUUGUGCUUGCAACAAAAUAGGACCACUGGAUAUAGUAGGCACUGUUUGAAGCAGCUGCAUCAUCAGGUCCUCCCCAAAAUGACUUGGCUGUAUCCUAUAGAACGGCCAUCUUAAAUCUUAGUGUUUUCAUGUUUGCGCUUUGGUCCUCCAGGCUCCAAAUGCACAUAUCCAGGAAUGCAGAUAAUGAAGAAAAUGAGGAUGGGCUUGCUCGCUUACUUGUUUCACCUUGGGAGUACAGAAAGCCCGAGUUCCUUUGCAGUGAGUGAUGGAUGCUGUCUUAGAAAAAAGGCACUUCUUCCUUGACCAUAUCAAGUUCUGGUAAUACUUCAGCCCCCUCAAACGGUCUGCAUCAAGUUAUUUAUAACCAUGUUUUUAUUGGAAAAUUGCCAUAUACUGAGUAAAAACACUCAAGGCAUCAAGGUAUUGAUUUUUUAGAUGACAUCAAUAUAAACAGCACUGAAUCUUCCUAGAUUGUGUGUGAGGAAGUGUGAAAGGUUUUAUGUGUAGCAGCAAAUACACCGUUCCACUGAGUGUUUUGCUUACCAAGAAAGUAGGAAUGAGAGUGAGGAAUACCAAAAGGAAGACUGCAGCAUUUAUUUACUUGGUUACCCCAAAGAAUCAACCAUACUCUUUUCAAGUCACACUCAAAACAUGCCAUCUUAUUCUGAGAUUCAUGAGUGUCUUUCUUGUUGCUAAUUGGUUGCUGGGUGGGUGGGGAGACAACAAAGUGCUGCUAACAGAACUGACAUGUUGUCUUUUUACUGUAAGGUGUCAGUGUGGUGUAAUGGUUAGAGUGUCAGAUGAGCACCUGGGAGAGCAGAGUUCAAAUCCCUCAGAGUGACCCUGGGCCAGUCACUCUCUCAGCCUAACCCACCACAUCGGGUUGUUGUGAAGUUAAGAUGUAGAGAACUAUGUCUGCCACUUUGAGCUCCUUGAAGGAAAGGUUGUAUAUAAAUGUAAUAACUGUGGCAUUAUUUAAAAGCCAGAUUGGUAAACGGCAGCUUUUUCUUCACAAAAUUUGAAUAGUAAAGGAAAUUUGAGACAGCAUCUUGGAGCCUUUCCCCAGCUCUUUCGGACAGGUUUCAAGUUUGGGGACAAAAUUCAGUUGCUUAGUGUUCUGAUAAGGAUGCAACCUAGGCACCAAUGAAAUCCGCUUAGCUAAUUGAUAUUUUGCCUUUUAAACCUAUCAGUUGAUCCAAAGUAAAUCACUAUAUCAUGAGAAGUCAUGGUAGGCCACUGCCGUGCCCCCCCCCCCGUCAAAUUGCCUGCUUUGUUGAUCUGAUAAAGCAAUGCAACAGGUAAAAGCAUGAAUGUGCAUUCAGUGUGCAUGGAGCCAUGCUGUGCGUGAGCUGCUGGGAAGGCAUCCAUUCCAACUGGGUCUUUGAAAUCAGACACUGGAAGAUUUGAGCAGAGUUCAAAGCAAGGAAUGCCAGGAGUAGUUUAGCUGAAAUGCAAAUUAAAUCCAGUGCUUGUCAAAUGCUGUGAUGUUGCCACACAGUGGAUGGAGGAGAAGGCCAGCCUUGGUGCUGUGACUAGCCUCAAGCUAUGACUGAAUUUGCUUACUCGACCACUGAGGGACUCUCUUGCCUCAUACAGAACAAAAAUGUUUAGCAGGGCUUCUAGAUCCAACUCUAUGAACACACACCACUAUAGAAAACACAGUAUACUUGACACAAAUAAAAGAUGAAUGCUCUUGCGUAAUAAAGCAUCGGUUUCCAUUCUGUCCCAUGUCUUUCGCAUGAAGUGCUGUUUCCAUUCCACUGCAGUUUAGCUUCCAAUGAAAACUACGUCAUCUGUCUUGCUGCCGGCUGUGGCAAAAUUCUGUGUAAUUAAUUACAAUAAUGUCAUUCCACAUCAUUUAAAUGCAAAUGGAAUGCAGUGCAAAUGGGUGUAGUCGGUACUAUUUGUGAACUGAAAACAACAGUGAAUACUGAUUGUAUUGACUGGAUUGAUUUCUAUUCCAGACAUGGAACGAAAAAACAGACAGUUUAUUUCUGUUCUUUUCUGCUGAAAUUCUCCAACAAUCCCACUCUUCAGAUGUUUGUGCUUGUGCUUGUCCCAGGAACAAAACUGAUGUUCCUGUGUGUGCAUGUACAUGGCUAGCCAAUGAUCAGGAUGGCUGCUUCAGAGCACUAGAAUCAAGACACAAGCCCUUUUGGCAGGAAAUCUUGAAUCUUAUCAGUGAUAUAAUUAGAUCUAAUAUAGCUUUAGACCCAAAGUAAAUGUUCCUUGGUAGCCUAAAAGGUAUCAUUUGGAAGACAGAUUUAAGAACUCACUUUCACAUUAAUUCCAGCAAAGUUGGUGAUAGCAAUUAAUCAGAUACAAUGUAACAGUACAUGAAAAUCUGAAAUAUAGUUUUUUACAAACUUAAAAGUACACUGCUGUCAGAGGAGGAUGAGCUGAUGAUAGAUGUAUCAAAAGAUGAAGUUCAUUUAUAAACUACAGUAUUGAAAUUUGAAAUUUCUAGAUAAUAUCCAGCUGUACACUUUAACUCAAUGUGACCUGAAGUGAUAACUGGAUGAUUGUUUCUGUAUUAUUUAAAGUGUGAUAUUAUCAUUAUAGGCAGAACUUUCUGAUUAUAUGUGUGUAAGCCAAUGGGUCCCAAAACUGUGUUUGACAAACUUUAUUUGGGUGAACUAUAGCAUGUCUGCAUUAAAUAUUCAUAUUGAUUUUAA